AACAGCAUCUUAUUGAUAUUUUUAUCAUGAGUGGAGGUGGUGGUGGUGGCGGUGGCGGUGGUGGUGGUGGGGGAGGUGGUGGGGGAGGCGGUGGUGGCGGCUGGCGUUACCGCGUACAGGAAGAAGACAUUGAAUUCGCAGUUACCUAUUACAUGGUACCCGGGGCGGAAAUAGACUACGAUGAGACCACUUCUGGUGUCCUGGGGGUUACUUCCGGUCCAGUCGAGGAUUCGACACUUACUCGAUCUCCGAAUUAAAUGGAGUGGCGAAGUAAGAUACAUAGCAACACGAUAUAUGGAUUGGUUGCAGUCCCAUACUAUUGGUCGUAUUACCUCCUCCAUUAUAAUUCCUUAUAAAACGACAAAAACACAGGGAAGAUACUACGAAUAUGGACAUUGUCUUAGAAUUAUCUAUCCUUAUAUGCAUCUCAAUUGUUACCGAACCAUGUUAAAUAAGUUCGUUUUAUUUAAUUUGCAUGUUUUAUUGUAACAUGAAGCUAGUUUAAAUAUGUAACAAUCCUUUAAAUAAAAUCAGCAUCUUCUCAAAUA